UAGGGAAUCUUCCACAAUGGACUAAAGUCUGAUGGAGCAACGCCGCGUGAGUGAAGAAGGUUUUCGGAUCGUAAAACUCUGUUGUAAGGGAAGAACACGUACGAGAGUAACUGCUCGUACCUUGACGGUACCUUAUUAGAAAGCCACGGCUAACUACGUGCCAGCAGCCGCGGUAAUACGUAGGUGGCAAGCGUUGUCCGGAAUUAUUGGGCGUAAAGCGCGCGCAGGCGGUCCUUUAAGUCUGAUGUGAAAGCCCACGGCUCAACCGUGGAGGGUCAUUGGAAACUGGGGGACUUGAGUACAGAAGUGGAAAGCGGAAUUCCACGUGUAACGGUGAAAUGCGUAGAGAUGUGGAGGAACACCAGUGGCGAAGGCGGCUUUCUGGUCUGUAACUGACGCUGAGGCGCGAAAGCGUGGGGAGCAAACAGG
rnacentral:rRNA from 1 species